CAUUUUCCAUGGCAACAUGGAGGAAGAUCAGGCAGGAGUCAGCAGAGGUUAUAGUAGUUCCUCCAUGCGAAACGAAGUAU
rfam:Delta proteobacterium ML8_D scaffold_1, whole genome shotgun sequence.